rnacentral:rRNA from 1 species
UAGGGAAUCUUCCGCAAUGGGCGAAAGCCUGAAGGAGCAACGCCGCGUGAGUGAUGAAGGUCUUCGGAUCGUAAAACUCUGUUAUUAGGGAAGAAUAAAUGUGUAAGUAACUAUGCACGUCUUGACGGUACCUAAUCAGAAAGCCACGGCUAACUACGUGCCAGCAGCCGCGGUAAUACGUAGGUGGCAAGCGUUAUCCGGAAUUAUUGGGCGUAAAGCGCGCGUAGGCGGUUUUUUAAGUCUGAUGUGAAAGCCCACGGCUCAACCGUGGAGGGUCAUUGGAAACUUGAAAACUUGAGUGCAGAAGAGGAAAGUGGAAUUCCAUGUGUAGCGGUGAAAUGCGCAGAGAUAUGGAGGAACACCAGUGGCGAAGGCGACUUUCUGGGCUGUAACUGACGCGGAUGUGCGAAAGCGUGGGGAUCAAACAGG